AGAGAAAUGAAUUACCCUGUGUGUGUUCUUCUCAGAUUUGCUUCUUUCUCAGAAUAGUACAUCCAGGAUUCAUCCAUGUUCAGAUGCAUGUGCCCAUUCUAACUGAAAGUUACAAGGGAGUGUCUGCUGAUCUGGAACAACAAACAGCUCUUUAUCAGCGUUCAAUUCAACCCAAGGAACCAGGAACCAAGGAGGAAGGAAGUAAUUGACAUUCAAAGCCUCUAUUUUUAGACACCUUUACACUUUCUUUGCUUCUAACUAGCAAGGAUUUUUCCAAACAAGCUUUUAAUUAGCAGGUGAGUUUAAUUGAUAUGUGGGUUUUCUCAGAAGGGGAAAGGACCUC
rnacentral:lncRNA from 1 species